UUUGUAAUUUCUUGCACGCCCUUUUCAUCCCUUUAGAAACGAACGAAUAUGGAAACAUCGUACGAAACAUAAAAAUGUAUCUUACUCAUACAUGAAUUAUUUGCUCUUGCGACACAAACGCUUGGUAUGGCAAACGCUUGACCUGUCAACGGAAAAUCUGCAGUGAAUGGAUUGAUGGUUAGCUUUAUUUUGUACUGUCUCGUUGGAUUAGGUGAGAAACCAAUUUUUUUGACGGAUUACGGAAUACUAUUAACUUUAAACGAUGGAAAACUAUCCGGAUGAUAAUAUUACGCGUUAUGGAAAUGAAAGAAUUGUGAGGGAUCAUCGAAAAGUGUGCAUUGACAAGGUGCGACGGAAAACUUUGUCAUGUAUGGAACCGAAAGGAUUUGUGAAUGAUCUUGACCACGACGAGAGGAAACACGAGGACAUCUCUACGCCGGGCUGCCGUAAACACCUCAUAAGAGUUUUUUGCAUUAGGCGAACUGGUUUAUGUGCAACACGGCGGGUUGCACCGUCAUAGCUGAUGUUUACAGUGAGUCAUAUUCUUUUCAAAAAGGACCCAUGAUACGUUCCUGGGAUCCGUGUCCCAUCUAGAUUUUCCAAAAUAUACGAAUUAGUGCCUAAAA